rnacentral:rRNA from 1 species
UACGGAGGGUGCAAGCGUUAAUCGGAAUUACUGGGCGUAAAGCGUGCGUAGGCGGUUCGUUAAGUCUGUUGUGAAAGCCCCGGGCUCAACCUGGGAACUGCAUUUGUGACUGCAUGGCUAGAGUACGGUAGAGGGGGAUGGAAUUCCGCGUGUAGCAGUGAAAUGCGUAGAUAUGCGGAGGAACGCCGAUGGCGAAGGCAAUCCC